rnacentral:rRNA from 1 species
GAACGCUGGCGGAACGCUUUACACAUGCAAGUCGAACGGUAACAGCGAGGAAAGCUUGCUUUUUUCGGCUGACGAGUGGCGAACGGGUGAGUAAUACAUCGGAUCGUGUCCGCUCGUGGGGGACAACCAUCCGAAAGGAUGGCUAAUACCGCAUGAGUUCUACGGAAGAAAGAGGGGGACCUGCUUGCAGGCCUCUCGCGAGCGGAGCGGCCGAUGACUGAUUAGCCGGUUGGUGAGGUAACGGCUCACCAAAGCAGCGAUCAGUAGCUGGUCUGAGAGGACGACCAGCCACACUGGGACUGAGACACGGCCCAGACUCCUACGGGAGGCAGCAGUGGGGAAUUUUGGACAAUGGGCGCAAGCCUGAUCCAGCUAUUCCGCGUGUGGGAUGACGGCCCUCGGGUUGUAAACCACUUUAGUAGAGAACGAAAAGGAGCUAUCGAAUAAAUAGCUCUGCUGACGGUACUCUAAGAAUAAGCACCGGCUAACUACGUGCCAGCAGCCGCGGUAAUACGUAGGGUGCGAGCGUUAAUCGGAAUUACUGGGCGUAAAGGGUGUGCAGGCGGCUGAGUAAGACAGAUGUGAAAUCCCCGGGCUUAACCUGGGAACCGCAUAUGUGACUGCUUGGCUAGAGUGCGUCAGAGGGAGGUGGAAUUCCACGUGUAGCAGUGAAAUGCGUAGAUAUGUGGAA